GCAGCCGCGGUAAUACGGGGGAUGCAAGCGUUAUCCGGAUUUAUUGGGUUUAAAGGGUGCGUAGGCGGCGUCUUAAGUCAGCGGUGAAAUUUCGGAGCUCAACUUCGAACGUGCCGUUGAUACUGGGAUGCUAGAAUGCGGAUGCCGUGGGAGGAAUGUGUGGUGUAGCGGUGAAAUGCAUAGAUAUCACACAGAACACCGAUUGCGAAGGCAUCUCACGAAUCCGCUAUUGACGCUGAGGCACGAAAGCGUGGGGAUCAAACAGGAUUAGAUACCCC
rnacentral:rRNA from 1 species